UACAGAGGGGGCUAGCGUUGUUCGGAAUUACUGGGCGUAAAGGGCGCGUAGGUGGCCUGUUAAGUCGAACGUGAAAUCCCCCGGCUCAACCGGGGAACGGCCGGGCAUACUGGCGGUCUUGGGCCAGCUAGGGGUCAUCGGAACAAACGGUGGAGCGGUGAAAUGCGUAGAUAUCGUUUGGAACGCCGACGGUGAAAACAGAUGACUGGGGCUGUGCCGACGCUGAGACACGAAAGCCAGGGGAGCAAACGGG
rnacentral:rRNA from 1 species